rnacentral:rRNA from 2 species
UCCGUAGGUGAACCUGCGGAAGGAUCAUUAACGAGUUUUGAAACGGGUUGUUGCUGGCCUUCCGAGGCAUGUGCACGCCCUGCUCAUCCACUCUACACCUGUGCACUUACUGUAGGUUGGCGUGGGUUUCUGGCCUCCGGGUUGGAAGCAUUCUGCCGGCCUAUGUACACUACAAACUCUUAAAGUAUCAGAAUGUAAACGCGUCUAACGCAUCUUAAUACAACUUUCAGCAACGGAUCUCUUGGCUCUCGCAUCGAUGAAGAACGCAGCGAAAUGCGAUAAGUAAUGUGAAUUGCAGAAUUCAGUGAAUCAUCGAAUCUUUGAACGCACCUUGCGCUCCUUGGUAUUCCGAGGAGCAUGCCUGUUUGAGUGUCAUGAAAUUCUCAACCCAUAAAUCCUUGUGAUCUAUGGGCUUGGAUUUGGAGGCUUGCUGGCCCUAGCGGUCGGCUCCUCUUGAAUGCAUUAGCUUGAUUCCGUGCGGAUCGGCUCUCAGUGUGAUAAUUGUCUACGCUGUGACCGUGAAGCGUUUUGGCAAGCUUCUAACCGUCCAUUAGGACAAUUUUAUAACAUCUGACCUCAAAUCAGGUAGGACUACCCGCUGAACUUAAGCAUAUCAAUAAGCGGAGGA